rnacentral:rRNA from 1 species
UACGUAGGGUGCGAGCGUUGUCCGGAAUUAUUGGGCGUAAAGAGCUCGUAGGCGGCUUGUCGCGUCGACUGUGAAAUCCCGCGGCUCAACUGCGGGUCUGCAGUCGAUACGGGCAGGCUAGAGUUCGGUAGGGGAGACUGGAAUUCCUGGUGUAGCGGUGAAAUGCGCAGAUAUCAGGAGGAACACCGGUGGCGAAGGCGGGUCUCUGGGCCGAUACUGACGCUGAGGAGCGAAAGCGUGGGGAGCGAACAGG